CUUCGCUCCAAAAAAAAAAGGCGCCUCUCUCGUCUUCUCUCCCGUACGCGCCCCAGUGAAUCGAGCAGUGGCAGUGGCGAUGGGAUUCGACGAGGGAUGGGCGGCGGAGGAAUCCGGACGCUCAUCCGGCCGGCGGCAGCAGGUGGACACGGACCGGACUCGCUCCGGCGCACGUGGCUAGCCGCUCGCCAAAGAGCUCUCCAUCACGCUCCUCCUCGCAACCGAGAGCGAUAAUUAAAGGAAGGAGGUAUGCAGGGUCGCGAGUCUACAUUCAACGUGCCUGUGGCGUGGAUGGAAGCUCAUUUAUCUAAUUUGAUAUUUUUAGACUUCCUUUGUGUAAUAAUACUCUGGAUUAUUAUGUUUUAUGCGUUGUAAUAAAGACAUGAAUUGUGAUAUUUCAUCGUGAACUGUGGGUAGUAGCAUUGAUCCAGGGACUAGUACUAUAAA